GACAGAGGGGGCAAGCGUUGCUCGGAUUUACUGGGCGUAAAGGGCGCGUAGGCGGCGUGACAAGUCACUUGUGAAAUCUCCGGGCUUAACUCGGAACGGUCAACUGAUACUGCGCGGCUAGAGUGCAGAAGGGGCAACUGGAAUUCUCGGUGUAGCGGUGAAAUGCGUAGAUAUCGAGAGGAACACCUGCGGCGAAGGCGGGUUGCUGGGCUGACACUGACGCUGAUGCGCGAAAGCCAGGGGAGCGAACGGG
rnacentral:rRNA from 1 species